UAGUCCACGCCGUAAACGAUGAGAACUAGAUGUUGGGGGAAUUUGUCCUUCGGUGUCGCAGCUAACGCGUUAAGUUCUCCGCCUGGGGAGUACGCCGGCAACGGUAAAACUCAAAGGAAUUGACGGGGACCCGCACAAGCGGUGGAGCAUGUGGUUUAAUUCGAUGCAACGCGAAGAACCUUACCUGCCCUUGACAUUGACAGAAUCUUCUAGAGAUAGAGGAGUCCUUCGGGACAAGGUGCAAGGUGCUGCAUGGCCGUCGUCAGCUCGUGCCGUGAGGUGUUGGGUUAAGUCCCGCAACGAGCGCAACCCCUAUCUUUAGUUGCUAACAGGUUAUGCUGAGGACUCUAGAGAGACUGCCGGUGCAAACCGAGAGGAAGGCGGGGACGACGUCAGGUCAUCAUGGCCCUUACGCCCAGGGCUACACACGUGCUACAAUGGUAAGUACAGAGGGUUGCGAGACAGUAAUGUUUAGCCAAUCUCAGAAAGCUUAUCUCAGUUCGGAUUGAGGU
rnacentral:rRNA from 1 species